GGGGGCUUAACUCAGAGGCUAGAGUACUAUCUUCACACGGUAGGAGUCACUGGUUCAAAUCCAGUAGCCCCCACCA
rnacentral:tRNA from 1 species